UCCUCCUUGGGUUCCUCUCAAGGGACAUGAGAAGAAAACCUAUAAGCAGUUGCAACAAGAGGCUAUAGAGAGCAAAAGACGUGACUUAGCUGUUUUGGAAGCUAAUGAUGGUGUAUGGCCAGGAGUUAGAAUUCCCAGCCAUGCCUUAUUCCUUUGGGCAAGUGGUUCUGAGCUUACUAAUGUUUUGGAAGCUGACCAUAUGCCUAACAAAUACAUUCCAAAAGAUCUCAGGCUCCAAUUGGCUAAAAUUAUCCCUGGGUUAAGGCCUUGGGAGGUUCUAAGUGUUGAGCAAGCAAUGGAUAAAAUAACAUUUGGCGGAAAGUGGUACCGUGAACCUCUUGGCACCUACACAACAGGUCCUCCAUACAUCAGGCAUUGGAACAAGGAUGUCAAGAGAAUAUUCCGGAUUUUCUACACUCUCAGCAUCCAAGUUUACAACAAAUUGGAGAGGACAAUUCCUGGUUUCAAUACUAUAAUAGAGAAAGUCCAGGCUGAUGCUGCUGCCAGGGAUGCCAGACGUAAGGAGAGGAGGGAGGCACAAAAGAAAGUUGAGCAGGAAAUGAUGUUAAACAGACAGCUUAAGAUUGAUCCAUAGUGUCAUUACAAUUUUGAAGUUCGUGAAUUUCAGACAAUCUGAUGUGCUGCAGAUCUUGAGUCACCUUCAACAAUCUCUCCAU
rnacentral:misc_RNA from 1 species